rnacentral:rRNA from 1 species
UGGGGAAUAUUGCACAAUGGGCGCAAGCCUGAUGCAGCCAUGCCGCGUGUGUGAAGAAGGCCUUCGGGUUGUAAAGCACUUUCAGCGAGGAGGAAGGGUUCAGUGUUAAUAGCACUGUUCAUUGACGUUACUCGCAGAAGAAGCACCGGCUAACUCCGUGCCAGCAGCCGCGGUAAUACGGAGGGUGCAAGCGUUAAUCGGAAUUACUGGGCGUAAAGCGCACGCAGGCGGUUUGUUAAGUCAGAUGUGAAAUCCCCGCGCUUAACGUGGAACUGCAUUUGAAACUGGCAAGCUAGAGUCUUGUAGAGGGGGGUAGAAUUCCAGGUGUAGCGGUGAAAUGCGUAGAGAUCUGGAGGAAUACCGGUGGCGAAGGCGGCCCCCCUGGACAAAGACUGACGCUCAGGUGCGAAAGCGUGGGGAGCAAAACAGGAUUAGAUACCCUGGUAGUCCACGCUGUAAACGAUGUCGACUUGGAGGUUGUGCCCUUGAGGCGUGGCUUCCGGAGCUAACGCGUUAAGUCGACCGCCUGGGGGAGUACGGCCGCAAGGUUAAAAC